rnacentral:rRNA from 1 species
GACGAACGCUGGCGGCGUGCUUAACACAUGCAAGUCGAACGGUGAAGCGCCUUCCUUUUUGGUGGGUGUGGAUGAGUGGCGAACGGGUGAGUAACACGUGAGUAACCUGCCCCCUUCUUCUGGAUAACCGCAUGAAAGUGUGGCUAAUACGGGAUAUUCUGGGUCUGUCGCAUGAUGGGUCUGGGAAAGAUAUUGUUUCGGUGGGGGAUGGGCUCGCGGCCUAUCAGCUUGUUGGUGGGGUGAUGGCCUACCAAGGCGGUGACGGGUAGCCGGCCUGAGAGGGUGGACGGUCACACUGGGACUGAGACAAGGCCCAGACUCCUACGGGAGGCAGCAGUGGGGAAUAUUGCACAGUGGGCGCAAGCCUGAUGCAGCGACGCCGCGUGAGGGAUGGAGGCCUUCGGGUUGUGAACCUCUUUCGCUAGUGAAGCAGGCCUGCCUCGUUUGUGGGUGGGUUGACGGUAGCUGGAUAAGAAGCGCCGGCUAACUACGUG